CAGAGUGUUUUCUCACCACGGCUUGCAGGUAGUCAGCACAUAAACAUGGUUUUUAGUUUUUUAAAAAUCCACUUCAGGGAUUUGUAACAAGCAUUGAAUAAGAUCAUGUAUACAGAGUGUUUUCUCACCACGCCUUGCAGGUAGUCAGCACAUAAACAUGGUUUUUAGUUUUGUAUAGUCCCCGUCCAUGAAUCACACCCAGAAAAGGUAUGUUGUUCACACCAAGAGCUCUGGCCCGCGGACCUUUGUCCACUUGGUGGUAAUUCAUUGGACUCUCAGGUUUAGAAUGAGGAAAUACCAGCCUUCAAAGCCCCAGGCCUGCUAUGAAAUAGCAAAGCCAAUGGUCCCAGAUGCCUUCAUAGCACACCUAGUAAGUAGGACACUUUUCACUCACCUUGUGGGCACGCUUGAGUCCAUGCACUCAUUUUUCAUUCAUUUCUUAUAUGCCGUGUAUUGGGUACUCGGGAUCCAUAAUACAGUGGACCCACAAUUGACUGGAAGCAUCGCUUUCAAAGCAUCAUUUCAGGAUGAGUAUUUCGUGUCAAGUGGAUUCAAGGAACAGUGCGAAGGAUCCAUGGCCUCAGUCACCAUGAAGAGCCUCCCAAGAGCCAACCUUCCUGGGCACAUGUGAGUGGAGACAUGGAACUCACCCUUACAAGGCCUAGAACCUGACAGAUCAUACAAGACAGAAGCCCAGAUAACUAAGAAGGGGACGCUGAAGGUGAGAGUCCCCUUGUGGAUCACCCAUGGGGAAUUGUCUAUGCCCCAGCGCUGGCCCCAGUUGUGCCUGCUGUGAGCCUCGUGGCCAGUCUGUGGCAUCUACCACUCCAGAGCCUGCCGUGUUACAUCCUGGAGUGGUGGAGGUGCAGGACGCGCGGCCCGGAAAAUCAAAGAGGCGCAAAGGUUUGGCUGGCCGUGCCAGGAACUGGGUAGCAAAGAGGAGGCGCAAGAAAAUUUGCCGCAGUGAAAAUGAAGCUCCCGUUCAAGACCCGGAGGAGGAGACGUCACCUGAGAUAGAGCUGCUGCAGGAGGAGAACCGGCAGAAGCUGGGCCUGAGCACCAACCUCAAGCAGGUGGAGGAUGAGAAGAAUUCCUUCUGGGAACAGCUGGAGAAGGAGAAGGAGGCCACGCACAACCUUGAGAAGCAGAUUGCCACCCUCCAUGCCCAGGUGGCCGACAUGACGAAGAUUGAGGACAGUGUGGGGUGCCUGGAAACCUCAGAGGAGGUGAAGAGGCAGCUCCGGAAGGACCUGAAGGGCCUGAGCCAGGGGCACAAGGACAAGCUGGAGAAUACCAAGACAUGUCUGCAGCAGGAGCUGGACGACCUGCUUGUGGACCUGGACAACCAGCGCCACAUGGUGUGCCACCUGGAGGAGAAGCAGAAGAAGUUUGACCAGCUCCUGGCAGAGCAGAAGACCAUCUCUGCCAAGUAUGCAGAGGAGCGUGACCGGGCCAAGGCCGAGGCCCGAGAGAAGGAGACCAAGGUGCUGUUGCUGGCCCGGGCCCUGGAGGAAGCCAUGGAGAAGAAGACGGAGCUGGAGCAGCUCAACAAGCAGAUCCGCAUUGAAAUAGAGCACUUCCUGAGCUCCAAGGGCAAGAGCGUUUAUGAGCUGAAGUCCAAGUGGGCUCUGGAGCAGCAGGUGGAGGAGAUGAAGAUCGCCCUGGAGGAGAUGGAGGAUGAGCUGCAGGACACUGAAAAUGCCAAUCUGCAGCUGGAGGUCAACCUGCAGGCCAUGAAGAUCCAGUUCGAGCAGGACCUGCAGGGCCGGGACGAGCAGAGUGAGGAGAAGGUGCAGCAGCUGGUCACACAGGUGUGGGACAUAAAGGCAGAGCUGGAGGAUGAGAGGAAGAGUCACUCCAUGUCAGUGGCCGCCUGGAAGAAGCUGGGGAUUGACCUGGAGGCGCGCAUCGACUCGGCCAACAAGAACCAGGAUGAAGCCGUCGAGCAGAUGCGGAAGUGGCGGGCCCAGGUUAAACACUGCAUGCGUGAGCUGGACGACACCCGCGCCUCUCGCGAGGAGAUCCUGGCCCAGGCCAAAGAGAAUGAGAGGAACCUGAAGAGUGUGGAGGCCGAGAUGAUCCACUUGCACGAGGAACUGGCAGCCACGGAGCGUGCCAAGCGCCAGGCCCAGCAGGAGCGGGACGACCUGCUCGUGGACCUGGACCACCAGCGCCAGAUAGUGUGCCACCUACAGAAGAACCAGAAGAAGUUUGACCAGCUCCUGGCAGAGGAGAAGACCAUCUCUGCCAAGUAUGCAGAGGAGCGUGACCGGGCCGAGGCCGAGGCCCGAGAGAAGGAGACCAAGGUGCUGUCGCUGGCCCGGGCCCUGAAGGAAGCCAUGGAGCAGAAAGUAGAGCCGGAGCGGCUCAACAAGCAGUUCCGCGUGGAGAUGGACCUCAUGAGCUCCAAGGGCAAGAGCAUCCAUGAGCUGAAGUCCAGGCGGCUUCUGGAGCAGCAGGUGGAGGAGUUGAAGACCCAGCUGGAGGAGCUGGAGGAUGAGCUGCAGGACACUGAAAACGCCAAUCUGCGGCUGGAGGUCAACCUGCAGGCCAUGAAGAUCCAGUUCGAGCGGGACCUGCAGGGCCGGGACGAGCAGAGUGAGGAGAAGCAGCAGCAGCUGGUCAGACAGGUGCGGGAGAUGGAGGCAGAGCUGGAGGACGAGAGGAAGCGGCACUCCACGGCAGCGGCAGCCCGGAAGAAGCUGGAGAUUGACCUGGAGGCGUGCAUCGACUCGGCCAACAAGAACUGGGAUGAAGUCAUCGAGCAGCUGUGGAAGUGGCGGGGCCUCCAAGGAGCAGCCUCUGAAGUUCAAGUUCUACGUUAUCCUCUGGCAGCAGAACUCAAACGGGGCCGUCUCGUGUCCACCACACGCCCUGCUGCUGGAACCGCCCACUGGGGUUCACAGAGCUGCAAUGCACUCCUGUCUCCUUCUGAGGACAGACGCUUUCACGAGAACAUCUCGCCUUCCUCUGACACUUGCAUCUUCAGAUUGAACAAUGCUUUAUGGGAGCUGCCCAGAAGCCAGGGCCCCAUGGGGACUUCCGCUUUCCUGAUGGGAAGCCCCAGAUAGCAAGUUGUUAUGAGGUGCUGUGCUGGUUGCUCACUAACUAGGACUUGGAAGGCACAGAAGCAGGAGAAGAAGGCUGGGCUGAACAGGCUCCUGGCAUGAGCUCGCUCACCAUGGCACAGCUCCCCGCACAGCCGCCACUCAUGGCUCUCCACUCUGCCCAGAGGAACAGUGGUGGGGGGAGGGGGGAGUGUUCCCACUGCAUGGACGCCCCCAGAUACACAAUAUUUAGCCGAUUUGAGCCUGGGGGUGCUCACGCUCUGACUCCCCAAGUCCUGCAUGGUGUCUCCCCUUCCUGGCACUCCCUCCCAGUAUGUGGAGACACAUCGGGUCUCCCCACUAGCUUGUGCUCCCAUCCUCCCACCACUCCCCAGUUCUAGUGUUUUCUUCUAAACAGAGACAGCAAAAGUGAAAACGAACCAGCAGAGUAGAAGCAAGCUCCUGGUAAAGGCAGAGCAACUCAAAGAAGUCCAGGCUUCACAUAAACCCUGCGGCUAAAAAGGCAAAGUGAAGCACAACCACCACCGGCUCCCAGGAGAGCAGUGAACUGGCCAAUACACUAGUGUGGCUGCUGCAUCUCAGGAGUCCUGCAGGUGGUUUGAAGAAGUCAGCUGGGAAGGAGACGGAGGACUGCAGCUCCCUGGGGAACUCUUCCUGAAUGGCGUCGAACCGUGGCACUGUGGCUCCCGUGAAGUUCAACUUGUCAAAGAUGUCGACGGCAAGAACUGGGGGGAUACUUCCUUUAAUCAGACAUAACCCCCACAGCUACCUUGAAUCCUUGUUUUCUUUUUUUUUUUGAGAUGGAGUUUAGCUCUUGUCACUCAGGCUGGAGUGCAAUGGCGCGAUCUCGGCUCACCGCAACCUCCGCCUCCUGGGUUCAGGCAAUUCUCCUGCCUCAGCCUCCUGAGUAGCUGGGAUUACAGGCACGCGCCACCAUGCUUAGCUAAUUUUUAAAAUAUUUUUAGUAGAGACGGGGUUUCACCAUGUUGACCAGGAUGAUCUUGAUCUCUUGACCUCAUGAUCCACCCACCUCGGCCUCCCAAAGUGCUGGGAUUACAGGUGUGAGCCACCGUGCCCGGCCACUGUUUUCAAAAUGACUACAACUGUUACACUGAUUGGCUGGCCUUAUUUAUUUAAUUUUUUUAAUUAGUAUUUUUUUGAGAUGGAGUUUCACGCUGUCUCCCCGGCUGGAGUGCAGCAGCGUGAUCUUGGCUAACUGCAACCUCUGCCUCCCAGCUUCAACCACUUCUCCUGUCUCAGCCUCCCGAGUACUGGGAUUACACGUGUGCACCAUCACGCCUGGCUGAUUUUUUGUAUUUUUGGUAGAGAUGGCAUUUCGCCAUGUUGGCCAGGCUGGUCGCAAACUCCUGACCUCAAGUGAUCCACCUGCCUCAGUCUCCCAAAGUGCUGGGAUUACAGGCGUGAGCCACUGUGCCCGGCCUAUUUAUUUAUAUUUAUAUUUAUAUUUUGAGACCAGGUCUCACUCUCUCACCCAGGAUGGAGUGCAGUGGUGCAAUCUCAGCUCACUGUAGCCUCAAUCUCCUGGGCUCAAACAAUCCUCCCACCUCAGCCUCCUGAGUAGCUGGGAAUACAAGAGAAUGCCACCACACCUGGCUAAUUUAUUUAUUUAUUUAAUAGAGAAGGGGUCUCACUACAGUUCCCAGGCUGGUCUCGAACUCCUGGGCUCAAGCAGUCUGCCCACCUUGGCCUCCCACACUGCCAAAAUUACAGGGGUAAAGUACCAUGCCUGGUUGACUGACCAUCUUUAGAACAGAAUCGAUUUCCAGCUUCCUGCACCCCACGUGUACCUACACCUGUCUGCAGUGAGCCUGGAGGGAGGCAGAACCCUUGACACCCACCCUUCUAGAGCCUCACUCCUGAGGGUCUGGAGGACCAGCCGGCUGGACACCCAAGAUCAUGGCCCAACAUCUCCCAAGCCUGGGACCUGGCCCCUGGGAGCAAUGGGUGAGUCACUGCAGACUGUCUUCCAAAGACUCCAUUCACAGAUGAGGAAACAGGCCUAGCUGCUGAUUUUUUUUUUUUGAAAGUUUCCUGUCACCCAGGCUGGAGUGCAGUUGCCCGAUCUUGGCUCACCGCAACCUCUGCCUCCCAGGUUCAAGUGAUUCUUGUGCCUCAGCCUCCAGCAUAGCUAGGACUACAGGCAUGCACCAUGAUGGCUGGUUACUUUUUCUAUUUUUAGUAGAGAUGGGGUUUCACUAUGUUGGCCAGGCUGGGUCAUAGGAUUUACCACAUGACCCAGCAAGCCCACUUCUGGCUCUACACCCAAAAGACUAAAAGCAAGGACCCAGAUAUUUGCACACCCACAUUCACAACAGCACCAUUCACACAGGCCAAAAGGUGGACGUGACCCAGGCAUCCAUCAACAGAUGAGCUGACUCCUGAAUUCACAUGAUCUGCCUGUCUUGGCCUCCCAGAAUACUGGAGUUACAGGCAUGAGACACUGUGCCCGACCCCUAAAUUGUUUUUCUAAGAGUGUGGCUAAGCAUGGCCGGGAGCCCACCUGCUACACCCAUGGGCCCAGCUCCUGGGUAGAGCCCCGAUGAUCGUGGGGUUCCACCCCCCACGCAGCCAGCGCCUUACUCAUGUUGGCGGUGACAAUGACGAAGGGCCGCAGGUACGUCCGCCGCAUGUUGCGUGCCACAUUGCUGAAGUAGCCCUCGAGGUGCUGAAGCAGCUGUGCCGUGCCACCCUGGCUCCGCUGGAUCUGCUCCCACGCUGUGCUGGUGGCUGAAGCCAGGAGGGCGCUGCCCGAGUAGAUGACGCCCUGGUCAGACAGACAGCGCUCAGUGCUCCACCAGCGGAGAAAGGCCUGGCUCUCGGGACCAAGGGACACCAGCCCUGAAAGCCUUUGCUCAUCUAGUGGGCUCAUUCAUUCAUUCCGGCCCCGCACUUUAGACUGUGCGCUUUAACAUGAGUUUACAAUUUUUUUUUUUUUUUUUUUUGAGAUGGAAUCUCAUUCUGUCGCCCAGGCUGGAAUGCAGUGGUGUGAUCUCGGCUCACUACAACCUCUGCCUCCUGGGUUCAAGCAAUUCUCCUGCCUCAGCCUCCUAAGUAUCUGGGAUUACAGGCAUGUGCCACCACACCUGGCUAAUUUUUGUAUUUUUAGUAGACACAGGCUUUCACCAUGUUGUUCAGGCCGGUCUCAAACUCUCGACCUCAAGUGAUCCACCUGCCUUGGCCUCCCAAAGUGCUGGGAUUACAGACAUGAGCCAACACACCCGGCUAGUUUUUGUGUUUUUAGUAAAGAUGGGCUUUCACCAUGUUUACCAGGCUGGUCUUGAACUCCUGACCUCAGGUUGGUCUACCCACCUCGGCCUCCCAAAGUGCUGGGAUUACAGGCGUGAGCCACUGAGCCUGGCCUAGUUUCCAAUUUUUUUUUUAAGUUUCCCAUCUUAAGAGGAAUAGAUGGUAUAUUUUUAUAUAGCUCACAAAGUAAAAAUCCAGAGAAUUCAAGAUGCUUCAUAUUUUUGGCCUUAUUAGAUUUAUAAGCACUGUUUAAAUGCUUGGAAGAUCUGUUUGCUAGCCAAACUGAAAUACGAAAAGAAAAAUCAAAUAUCUGACAUAUGAUUCCAUUUAAAAUACGUAAGGAAAUUUGAUGGUCUCAGUUUAUAAAUAGGAUCAAACAUUAAUCAAAGUUGAAUUCAAAGAGAUAAGAAGUAUUUUUUAAUGUGUGAUUUCCAUACAUCCCGAACCCCACCACAUAAACUAGAGAGACUGUGGGUGAUUCGCUGCCAGAGGCCCGAACUGUCAGAGUGAGCCCUGCCACAGGUUUUCUCCACAUAUACCCCAAGAUGCUAAGGUGAAGACAUGUGGAGACGUCCCUGGUUUUAUCAGAACUCCUCCCAAACCCCACUGAGGCCACUGUGGACACACAGGCAGCUCCUCCAAGGGUGACCCUCUGCCUCUGUGCACCUCGGGGUCUCUGAAUGACUGGGUGGAGGUGUGGGGCCAUGUUCAGGGGUUUGGGGACCACACCCAAGGUAGAAACCAGAGCUGGGCACAGUGGCUUACACCUGUAAUCCCAGAACUUUGGGAGGCUGAGGCAGGUGGAUUACCUGAAAUCAGGAGUUUGAGACCAGCCUGGCUAACAUGGUGAAAACCUGUCUCUACUAAAAAUACAAAAAAUUAGCCAAGUAUAGUGGUAGGUGCCUGUAAUCCCAGCUACUGGAAAGGCAGAGGCAGGAGAAUUGCUUGAACCCAGGAGGUGGAGGCUGCAGUAAGCUGAGAUCACGCCACUGCACUGCAGCCUGGGCAAUAGAGCAAGACCCCAUCUCAAAAAAAAAAAAAAAAAAAACCGGGAGGGAACUUGUUUGUAGAGUCACACAUGGAGAACAAAUGCCACUGGCCCAACUCUCAGGCUGGGACUCAAAUCCCAGCGAGAGGACCCUGCCUUGUCUCUGGGAGCCUUGUGCACACCUGAAGCUCUCAUGGGGGGCCCUGCAUGGACUGGAAGCCCUGUGUGGGGCCUGCAUGGAUGAGGAGGUCCCUGAGGGCUCCCUGUGGAUGGGGUGAGGAAUGGGGCAUCCCCCACGGGCUCUGUGUGGACAGGCCCUCCUCUGGGGGUCCCGCAUGGGUGAAGAGACCUGCCCAGAAGCCACAGGAAACUUCUGGAGCCUCCAAGAGCCGUUUCCAAACA